GCUAAGCGAACGGUGAUCCAUCGC
rnacentral:siRNA from 1 species